rnacentral:sRNA from 1 species
AUAGAAUGUAAAUGAAAACCACUGGAAUCAUUUUUUAUGACUGAGGUGUAAAGAAAUAUAUUGCUAUUACAAAGUUGUAUUUUUUUUUAACCCCUCCACAAAUUCCAAGUGCAUGGCUUUGUCAAAGUCUAGAAGACGAUGCAAGAAAUUGAACUUGUAGAAAUGAUUCAUUCAUUUUUUUUUUUUUUAUUCUAACUUGGGUGAACUGUUUGUCCUUAUACUUGGUUACAGAAUUAUUUGAAGAAAAAAUAGUUGACGACUAGUGAUAUAGAUGGUACACACUGAUACAGGAUUCUCCGAAGUUUUACGUGACCUUUAUUCUGAUUCAAAUUUUUUUACUAAAUAUAUGGCUGCCUGGUGGUAUGGUAUGCACCCUUCAUUGUAGUCUCAAUCCUAGCCUGCUGCCAUCCCCUGCCAUCCUGCUGGAUGUUUGGGCUAGGAUUCUGAAGGACCAUAUGAAUCAUGUAAAACAUACAGAUAAAAAUAAUUAAACCUGUUUUACUACCAGUUGCAAGGCUCAAGUGCUAAUAAAGUUGUGUCCCCUUGUUUUUUUUUUUAAGGAGCUCUGUAAUUAUUAAGUUGUGUCCCCUUAUUUUUUUUAACGAUGUCUGUAAUAAGAACAAUUUUGCUUUGGUUUAGCUUCCCCACCCCCCCCCCCUCCCAUGUUUACUCUCUCCCUGAAGACAAUAAACUUUAAGAAAACCUGGAGUACCAAGUUCAAUCAAGAUAUGUUUGGGUUAAGCAGCACCUGUCAGCCGCAGUCAAAGAAAGAAGAUCUAACACUCAACAAAUUAGGCUUAAGAUCUAAUCUGUUGUUUUUUUUUCCUCGCACUAAUUUAUUUUGUUGUAAGCAGAAGAUAUCUUCUUAUGUGUAUUCAUUUCUUGGGGGGAUAGAAAUGUGUUUAGAAAUAAAAUGCUGACUGUAGGAAAAAAAAUUUAGUUGAAAUCCCAAGAUUUGGAGAUUUGGAAUGGCCUGUUUCUCGACACAUUACUCAGAUGUAGUAGGCGAUAACAGCACUACUAAUUAGUGUCAGUAUUGCUUGACUAGUGACCAAAAAUGUGUUGUUUUUUAAGAUUCAGCUAAUUCUUAAUAUUGAGUUAGAGGGUAGUAAUUAUUCUGGUUUACCUGGCAAGGUGUUGGUUCAUUGUCCUGGUGUACCUGGCAAGGUGUUGGUUCAAUGUCCUGAUUUCCAUCGGUUCAUCUCGGGGCUUCUUGUUUCUACCUGUGUCCCCCUUGACAAGUUUGAUAAUGACAUGUCUCCCUGAGAAGGGGAUUGUGGAAAUGUUCAAGCUGUGUCUAGAUCAAGUGACAGCUGUAAUUACAGAAACUACCGUUUCAUCCCGUGGUAAAUAACUUAUGGACGCGAUUGAUGGGUGAAACACAACUGGUCAGUGUUGGAUUCCUGCUUAGAGUCCUGAGACAUUUGAUUUUAAAUUGUGUUUUGCAGUCUAUCAGUUCUUAAUGAGUACCGGUACAGAUACUCUUUUUAGUCCAAUCUUGUUAGGUACUCCAGUCAGUCCAAUCUUGUUAGGUACUCCACAGUCUGUCCAGACUUGAUGGGUACUCCAGUCAGUCCAAAAUCUUGAUAGGUACUCCAAUUAGUCCAUCAGUCCAAUCUUGAUAGGUACUCCAGUCAGUCCAUCUUGAUAGGUACUCCGGUUAGUUCGGUCUUGAUAGGUACUCCGGUUAGUUCGGUCUUGAUAGGUACUCCGGUUAGUUCGGUCUUGAUAGGUACCCCGGUUAGUUCAGUCUUGAUAGGUACUCCAGUCAGUCCAAUCUUGAUAGGUACUCCAGUCAGUCCAAUCUUGAUAGGUACUCCUGUUAGUUCAUCUUGAUAGGUACUCUGGUUAGUUUGGUCUUGAUUGGUACUCCGGUUAGUUUGGUCUUGAUAGGUACUCUGGAAAGUUUGGUCUUGAUGGGUAAUCUGGUUAGUUCUGUCUUGAUUGGUACUCCGGUUAGUUUAUUCUUGAUAGGUACUCUGGUUAGUUCGGUCUUGAUAGGUACUCCGGUUAGUUUGGUCUUGAUAGGUACUCCGGUUAGUUUGGUCUUGAUAGGUAUUCCGGUUAGUUCGGUCUUGAUAGGUACUCCAGUCAGUCCAUCUUGAUAGGUACUCUGGUUAGUUCGGUCUUGAUAGGUACUCCAGUCAGUCCAAUAUUGAUAGGUACUACAGUCAGUCCAAUCUUGUUAGGUACUCCAGUCAGUCCAUCUUGAUAGGUACUCCGGUUAGUUCGGUCUUGAUAGUACCCUUUUUGAGUCUGUCUAGUCUUGAUAGUUCUUGUGAGUCACUUCAGUCUUGGUAUGAAACUGAGUCAGAUCAGUUCUAAUGAGCAUCCCUUGGAAAGAUGAAAUGGGUUUAGGCCUUGCACUGGCCACGUGAAACACUCGUUAACCACUAGCCGUAGAAAGACGUGAACUCUUCUCCUGGCACAAGUUGCAGACGACAGCUGCCCAUUACAUUUCCCAUAGAGACCAGUUGCUAUUAUAUUUAAAUAUUGCAUUGGAGAUAUUGAGUUUCCUAUAUUCGUGAAUGACUCUAAGUGUUGUGUGUGUUUCUAUCGAUUGUCUUUAUAAGACUUUAAAACUUACACAGAACGAAGUCUUCAUUUUCAGAUCAUUUCUCAUUGUUUCCUUCAUGUACGAAUGUAGAAGGGACCCGGAGGGGAGGAUGUUACUUUAUCUGUAUUACUAUGAUUGUUAUCUAUUCACAUGUGAACACGUUUUCAUUCUUAGGAAAAUUUGUUUUUUUUCCACUUGUUCAAUAAAAUCUAUUCUACAAAA